UACGAAGGGUGCUAGCGUUGUUCGGAAUUACUGGGCGUAAAGCGCGCGUAGGCGGCUUUUCAAGUCAGGGGGGAAAUCCUGGGGCUUAACCCCAGAAUUGCCUUUGAAACUGGAAAGCUUGAGUGUCGGAGGGGAUAGCGGAAUUGCUAAUGUAGAGGUGAAAUUCGUAGAUAUUAGCAGGAACACCGGUGGCGAAGGCGGCUAUCUGGACGACAACUGACGCUGAGGCGCGAAAGCGUGGGGAUCAAACAGG
rnacentral:rRNA from 1 species